UACUCCGAUUGAAUGGCUUAGUGAGGUCUUGGGAUUGGCUUCGGGAAGCCGGCAACGGCAUCCUGUCGCUGAGAACUUGAUCAAACUUGGUCAUUUAGAGGAAGUAAAAGUCGUAACAAGGUUUCCGUAGGUGAACCUGCGGAAGGAUCAUUAUCGAGUUUUGACUGGGUUGUAGCUGGCCUUCCGAGGCAUGUGCACGCCCUGCUCAUCCACUCUACACCUGUGCACUUACUGUGGGUUUUACGGGUCGUGAAAUGGGCUCGUUCAUUCGGGCUUGUUGAGCGCACUUGUUGCCUGCGUUUAUCACAAACUCCAUAAAGUAUUAGAAUGUGUAUUGCGAUGUAACGCAUCUAUAUACAACUUUCAGCAACGGAUCUCUUGGCUCUCGCAUCGAUGAAGAACGCAGCGAAAUGCGAUAAGUAAUGUGAAUUGCAGAAUUCAGUGAAUCAUCGAAUCUUUGAACGCACCUUGCGCUCCUUGGUAUUCCGAGGAGCAUGCCUGUUUGAGUGUCAUGAAAUCUUCAAUCUACAAGCUUCUUAUGGGAGUUUGUAGGCUUGGACUUGGAGGCUUGUCGGUCCUUUACAGGUCGGCUCCUCUCAAAUGCAUUAGCUUGGUUCCUUGCGGAUCGGCUUGUCGGUGUGAUAAUGUCUACGCCGCGACCGUGAAGCGUGUUUGGGCGAGCUUCUAACCGUCUCGUUACGGAGACAACUUUAUGACCUCUGACCUCAAAUCAGGUAGGACUACCCGCUGAACUUAAGCAUAUCAAUA
rnacentral:rRNA from 1 species